GAUGAACGCUGGCGGCGUGCCUAAUACAUGCAAGUCGAGCGAACGGACGAGAAGCUUGCUUCUCUGAUGUUAGCGGCGGACGGGUGAGUAACACGUGGAUAACCUAUCUAUAAGACUGGGAUAACUUCGGGAAACCGGAGCUAAUACCGGAUAAUAUUUUGAACCGCAUGGUUCAAAAGUGAAAGACGGUCUUGCUGUCACUUAUAGAUGGAUCCGCGCUGCAUUAGCUAGUUGGUAAGGUAACGGCUUACCAAGGCAACGAUGCAUAGCCGACCUGAGAGGGUGAUCGGCCACACUGGAACUGAGACACGGUCCAGACUCCUACGGGAGGCAGCAGUAGGGAAUCUUCCGCAAAGGGCGAAAGCCUGACGGAGCAACGCCGCGUGAGUGAUGAAGGUCUUCGGAUCGUAAAACUCUGUUAUUAGGGAAGAACAUAUGUGUAAGUAACUGUGCACAUCUUGACGGUACCUAAUCAGAAAGCCACGGCUAACUACGUG
rnacentral:rRNA from 1 species